rnacentral:lncRNA from 10 species
AGGAGAGAACCUCCAGUGAGCGCACAGAAAGAAGAACGCCACAGGAACGCACAGUGGAGAGAAUGCCAUGUGAAGGCACAAAGAACGGAGAACGCUGCGUGAACGCACACACGUGGGGGAGAAAGCCAGGGGAACGCACAGAGUAAAUAGAACGCAAUGGGAACGCACAGGAAAGAGAACGCCACGGGAACACACCGGGGGAGAACGCCAGGAGAACACACUGAGGAGAGAACUCCGCGUGAACACAAUGCGGGAGAACUCCAGGUCAACGCACGGAGAGGAGAACGCCUGCUGAAUGCACGGGGUUGGAGAACGCCGGUGAACGCCGGUGAACGCACGGGGAAGAGAACGCCACGUGAACACACGGGGGAGACGCCGCACGAACACACAGAAGGGAGAAUGCCGGGUGAACACACACGGGGGAGAACGCCCACGCGAACGCACAGGGUAGAGAAUUCCGGGUGAAGGCACAGGAGGGAAACGGCGCGCGAACGCUCAGCGGGGAGAACGCCUGGUGAAUGCACGGGAGGGAGAAGGCCAGGUGAACGCACAGGGGGAAAAUGCCGCGCUAAAGCACACGGGAAAUAACGCCGAGCAAACACACAGGUGGGAGAACGUCGCACGAACGCACAGCGUGGAGAACGCGACGUGAACGCACACGGGGAAGAACACUGCGCGAACGCACAGCAGGGAGAACGCCACUUGAAAGCAAAGUGAGGGGAGAAUGCCGCGUUGAACGCACAGUGGGGAGAACAACCCGCGAACUCAUAAAGGGGAGAACGCAGCGUGAAAGCACACAGCGGGGAGAACGCCUGGGGAACGCAAAGAGUAAAGAGAAUGCCUUGGGAACGCACAGGAGAGAGAACGCAACCUGAACACACGGUGGGGGCUGGAGGAAGAACGUCGGGAGAUCACACAGGGAGGAGAACGCCAGGUGAACGCACAAGAGAAAACGCCUGGUGAACGCGCAAAGAAAGGAGAAAGCCAGGUGAACGCACAGGGAGAACGCCGCACAACCGCACAGGUAGGAGAAAGCCAUGUGAACGCACAAAGAAAGGAGAACGCUGAGUGAACGCACACAGGGCCGAGAACGCCAGGGGAACGCACACAGUAAAGAGAACACCGAGAACGCCGUGGGAACGCACAGGAGAGAGAACGCCACGUGAACACACGAGGGAGAACGCCGCGGGAACACACAGAAGGGCGAAUGCCCGGCGAACGCACAGAGGGGAGAACGCCAGGGGAACACGCACGGGGGAGAACGCUGCGCGAUCACACAGCGGGGAGAACACCGGGUAAACACACACUGGGGAAAACACCGCGUGAACGCAUAGAGGGGAGAACCCCGGGUGAACACACAGAGGGGAGAGCUCCGUGUGAACACAAAGGGAGGAGAACGCCUGGUGAGCACACACGGGGAGAGAACACCGCGCGGACCCACAAGGGGGAGAAUGCCUGGUGAACGUACAGCGGGAGGGGAGAACGCUGGUGAACGCACAGCGGGGAAAACGCCAUGUGAACGCACAAAGGAAGGAGAACGCCAGGUGAACUCAUACAGGGGGUAGGAACGCCAGAGGAAAGCACACAGUAAAGAGAAGGCCGUGGGAACGCGCAGGGGAGAGAACGCCGGGAGAACACAGAGGGAGGAAAAUGCCAGGUGAACGCACAAGGGGGAAAACGCCUGGUGAACGCACAAAGGAGAAAGCCAGGUGAACGCACAAGCAGCAGAACGCCAAGUGAACGCACGAGGGGAGAAUGCUGCGCCAACACACACGGGAAACACAACCGCGCGAGCACGCAGUGGGGAGAACGGCACGCGAACGCUCAGCAAGAAGAACGUAAGUUGAACGGACAGCGGGGAGAACGCCGCCCUAACACACGCGGGAAAUAACGACGCGUGAACACACAGCAGGGAGAACGCCGCGUGAAAGCACAGGGGGGAGAACGCCGCGUGAAUGCACAGAGGGGAGAACGCCGAGCGAACGCACAGGGUGGAGAAUGCCAUGUGAACGCACAAAGAAAGGAGAACCCCUGGUGAACGCACACAGGAGAAAGAAUGCCGAGGAACGCACAGAGUAAAGAGACCGCCGUGGGAACACACAGGGGAGAGAACGCCACGUGAACACAUGGGGAGAACGCCGCGGGAACACACAGAAGGGCGACCGCCUGGUGGAUGCACAGAGGGGAGAACGCCAGGGGAACACACACAGGGGAGAACGCUGGGCGAUCACACAGGGUGGAGAACGCCGGGCCACUGGAAGGGGUUCAUGGCACAAAAAAAGAUGCAGCCCAGCAAUAAGGUGAAAGAGAGAUGACGGAGCCACUGGACACAAGAAGCCUUGCACCCUGAGUCACCCCGUGGAGCACUGACGAGCCUCGGCUCCUGAUUCAUUAUGCGGAGUGCUGCCUAGUACCAGGAGCAACAGCACUGGACAGGGACAUGAGUAAGAAAUAAAACUUCCAGAGCGUGAAGCUAGUGAAAUGAUGGGAUGUGUUUAUCACAGGGCUAGCAUCAUCCUAACCAGCAUGGAGACAUGCGGGGCUGUGAACGGGAGCCUAGAGCUGCAAAUUAGACAAGCCUGGGCCAGGAGACCUUUUGCAGGCUGCAAAGCUGCUCUCUCCUUUGCCUCCUCUGUACCUCAAAGGACCUGGGGUGGUGAAGGGAGUUGUGGGCCGACCUGAGUCAGCCUGAACAGGCUGUUCCUUCAGCAGAUUCCUCAAGCUCUGCCCCGGCCCCUUCCUCGGCCCACCCCAGCUUGCCCUCCAAGGGGUAUUAUCACUGUGACCCUCGUCUCCUCCUCCUGUUCAGGCUUUGCCUUGGCAGCGCAGCAGUGCCCCUCUGCAAAGGGGUCUCGCAUGCUGUUCAGCAGCUCUCUUCCCGCCACAGCGAUGGGCAGCCGGAUCCCAGCUGGAACUCCGCCACAUCCCAGGAAUGUGAAUACCAGUGGAAUCCGGAUAGGACGGUGUGACCCAGGCACAGUGGGUGAGAACCGGAGCUUGGCUAGCAGGCAGGGGUUCAGCUGCUUCCUGACCUGUGCCCUGGCACCUCUGACCUGGCCGGAGCUUCUCAGGCAGUGACCACUGCUGAAACUUUGAGACCCCAACAUGUGUGGGAGCAUUUCUAAGCCUUCCUUGCAUGGACACACUCCUCCCUAACGCUGUCCCAUUUUCCAGACAGGGUCUCACCCACCCCGCACUGCUGCCCCCAGUGCUUUGAUUCAGCCCCUCAGCUGUGAAUGGAGUUGGUUCCUCAUAUGAGAUCUCAAUAAGACUAUGGUGGGAGUCGGCGUAGAGCAGGGAAAGCCUGGACUUUCUGCCAGAAGGUCGGGGUGGGGCAGUGCAGGCCACGGCACCUCCCGGCUCUGUGCACAGGGUGGGCCACCCCAACCCGGCUCCUCACACUUCACGGCAUGCAGCAGCCUCCUGGGCCCUGGGAACAUGCAGACUCUGAGCAGCAAGACUGCGCAGGACCCGACAUUUGCAUUUCUAAACAGCUCCCAGGGGACGCCAAUGCUGCGGGCUGAGGCCCACGCUGGAGGAACACCGGCCAGUGGGCAGCUUUGGGUGAACUUCAGAGUGGGUGGAAGCGCAGCUGCCCCGCCUGCCCCCACGGCUGCUGCGCGAUCAGGAAACACAGCACACUCCUAAGUGAGUCGUCACCAUGGUGACUUUUGGAUUCCCACUGCCAGUUCCUGUGGAGUCAGAGAGAUCUUAGCUCAGAAGUGCUGACAGCAGGGGCUGGCUGGCCACUGGCCACAUGGGAAGAGGAGAAAGGCAGCAGGAGCCACCGUGAGGCAAAUGAGCUACAAGACGCCGCUCCGUCUGAUUUCCCGCCACAGCUCCCAACACAGGUGAAAUGGCUCAGAACAGCUCAGCAUGUCCUACUGAGGGGCAGGAAGGAUGCUGAGAAAAUCCCAGGCAGCGGUCUCAGCUGGGAUGUAAUUUGAGGGCGAAAAAGUUGUGUUGCUUGCGGUUUCUUCCUUGCUCCUUGCAGGUUAUAUUUGAAAUGAAUGUCAGAGCCAUGCGGCCGCUGCCAACUAAUUCCCAGCUAAGAAGGUAAACACCAGCAUCACCUGGGUCUUCUGGUCUACCUGAUUCUGCAGCUCAGAGGGAACCAUGCAGCUGGCAAAAAUGACAGCGAGGGCAGGACUAUGACCCAAUUAAAGGAAUGUGAGUUAAAACAUGGGGAGCCAAACACCCAAAUUCCAGCCUGAUCCUAACUGUAUGUAGGCAUUAAACCCUUAUGCUGUCAUUCCCACCACCGAGUAGAAAGUGUGGCACGUGGC